GAUAUUCUGAGCUGGGUAUGAGUACUCUGAAGCUUUUUCCCUAAGAACCCUAAGAACUCUCUUCUCUCUCUCGAAAUCUCUUCAAUCUCGAACACUGUCACCUCUUUUCGCUCUCUGCGUAUCAAUCCUUCAUCAAACUGUCACCUUCAGUCAACUCUCGUCUCGAACCUUCAGUCACGUUUCUCUCGUCUCGAUCGACUUCUCUGGUCGCGAGCCUCUCUUCUCUGCAGCUGUCGUCUACUCCACCCCUCUUAUGUCAAACCAUAUCGUGCCCUAAAUCUUUCUUCU
rnacentral:lncRNA from 1 species